AAGAGGAGGAACCAUUAUGACGAAGGCAUACUUUAGCAUGGUUCCGACGCAAUGCCGCCGAACGAAUGUGAGGGGGCGAUACCAAUA
rnacentral:sRNA from 1 species